rnacentral:rRNA from 1 species
UGGGGAAUAUUGGACAAUGGGCGAAAGCCUGAUCCAGCCAUGCCGCGUGUGUGAAGAAGGUCUUCGGAUUGUAAAGCACUUUAAGUUGGGAGGAAGGGUUGUAGAUUAAUACUCUGCAAUUUUGACGUUACCGACAGAAUAAGCACCGGCUAACUCUGUGCCAGCAGCCGCGGUAAUACAGAGGGUGCAAGCGUUAAUCGGAAUUACUGGGCGUAAAGCGCGCGUAGGUGGUUUGUUAAGUUGGAUGUGAAAUCCCCGGGCUCAACCUGGGAACUGCAUCCAAAACUGGCAAGCUAGAGUAUGGUAGAGGGUGGUGGAAUUUCCUGUGUAGCGGUGAAAUGCGUAGAUAUAGGAAGGAACACCAGUGGCGAAGGCGACCACCUGGACUGAUACUGACACUGAGGUGCGAAAGCGUGGGGAGCGAACAGGAUUAGAUACCCACGUAGUCCCUGAGCGGGCUGGCAAGGCGCAU